UACGUAGGGUGCGAGCGUUAAUCGGAAUUACUGGGCGUAAAGCGUGCGCAGGCGGUUCGCUAAGUCCGCUGUGAAAGUCGGGGGCUCAACCCUCGAAUGCCGGUGGAUACUGUCGGGCUAGAGUGCGGAAGAGGCGAGUGGAAUUCCUGGUGUAGCGGUGAAAUGCGCAGAUAUCAGGAGGAACACCUAUUGCGAAGGCAGCUCGCUGGGACGUAACUGACGCUGAGACGCGAAAGCGUGGGGAGCAAACAGG
rnacentral:rRNA from 1 species